UGCCAGCCGCCGCGGUAACACGUAAGUUGCAAGCGUUGUUCGGAUUCAUUGGGCGUAAAGGGCAUGUAGGCGGCAUGACAAGUCUGGUGUGAAAUAUCUCGGCUCAACCGAGAAAACGCACUGGAAACUGUCAAGCUUGAGUAUCGGAGGGGAAGCUAGAAUUCCUGGUGUAGGGGUGAAAUCUGUAGAUAUCAGGAAGAAUACCGGUGGCGAAGGCGGCUAACUGGCUCGGUACUGACGCUGAGAUGCGAAAGCGUGGGGAGCAAACAGGAUUAGAUA
rnacentral:rRNA from 1 species